GUGUAAUGAUGUAAAAAGUAAUCAUUACUCUGAUACCUGAUGUCUACAAAGGAACCACUGAUGCAC